UCAAAUGAUGGAUUGGAUGAAGCAGCUCAAUGAUUUCUUCUUCUUUCCGCGGCUCGACGAUAUCUCCUCCUUUCAGCGGCUCGGCGAUAUCUCAUCCUUUCAGCGGCUCGGUGAUAUCUCCUCCUUUGAAUAUUUUGAACGUAGAAAUGUGUGUAGCAAUCUAUCUCUUUUUUGUUUUUAUCUAUCGUCUAAGUAAAAAAUUCUCCCAUGUUUGAUUUCGGUUCUCGUAUUUAUAAUGGAAGGGGUGGUGAGAGAUAUUUUGAGGGAUUCGAAAUUCGAAUUUGAAUUUUGAAUAGGUUGUUGGAUGGUUGGAGGAUUUUUGGGAAUUGGUUGGAGAUUCGAAAUUCGAAAUCGAAUUUUGAAUGAGUUGUUAGAGAAUAUUUUGGGAAUUGGUUAGGAAUUCGAAAUUCAAAAUCGAAUUUUGAAUGGGUUGUUGAGAAUAUUUUGGGAAUUGGUUGAGAAUUCGAAAUUCGAAAUUCGAAAUCGAAUUUUGAAUGGAUUGUGAUUUGAAAUCGAAUUUCGAACAGAUAUUUUAUAGGGUGUGGAUGUGGGCCGUCAUUGAUCAGGCCCGUUUUAAUUUAUUGGGCCCAAAUGAUAAUAUUUAAUAGGCUGGAAU
rnacentral:lncRNA from 1 species